UACGUAGGGGGCUAGCGUUGCUCGGAAUCACUGGGCGUAAAGCGCACGUAGGUGGGUCGUUAAGUCGGGGGUGAAAUCCUGGAGCUCAACUCCAGAACUGCCUUCGAUACUGGCGAUCUUCGAGUCCGGGAGAGGUGAGUGGAACUGCGAGUGUAGAGGUGAAAUUCGUAGAUAUUCGCAAGAACACCAGUGGCGAAGGCGGCUCACUGGUCCGGUACUGACGCUGAGGUGCGAAAGCGUGGGGAGCAAACAGG
rnacentral:rRNA from 1 species